AAAGUUGUGAAUACAAAUGCAGCAGCUUUUCUGUGCUACAAAUCUGAGCUUUAUAAAGUGAGUACAUGCUGUUCCUUUGUUACUUUGUGUUCGUCACAUUUUCUUUUCUUGUUUAUUUCUCGAGUAAUUUGUGUUGUAGUCUAUUUAGCAUUAGGGACUACAUAUAUAUUUAUUUCAAAUGUUUUGUUUUUCUCUCAGUGGUUAUAUAAGAAGAUUUAGUGUAACACUAAAUCAGAAAACCUGAUUUUAGAAAAAUCUCACUGCUCGCUCAUACUGUAUGUGUUAUAUGUUAGUGCUAUUAGUGUGAACAUACACGAAUAGUCUAUUUAUUUUACUUUAUUUUAAAUCUGUGUCAAAUAAUUUCUCUGGUUUUUGUGAAUUUAUGUGAAUUAAUUUUUUCAAUAGAAUAUAAAGCCUUAAUGCCAUUUGCAGUGUGUGUGUGUGUGUGUGUGUGUGUGUAAGACAGCUGCAGACUGGGCAUUAGCGAUUCACCGCCUAAUUGUGAAGGUCUUCUUGACCUUGUUGCAGUAGAUAUGACAAAUACAUUAUAGCUUAAUAAAUGGAAUAUGAGAAUCAGUGAGCAGUAAUGCAAGCCUUCACAGUUCUUGAAACGUAAUCUACACUAGUUUAAGUGGCUUGAAAUGUAUGAUUUUUUUAUGACCAUAAAAACAUGCAUUCUUUUGGAGCUAUAUGUAUUCACCAACAAAUACCUCUGUUUUGUUUUGUACAGAUGUGGAGCACGGCCUGAGAUGCUGAAAGUCAAGGCCAAAAACACAAAGUAAGAGUACAGAGUUUGGGAGGCAGAGAACGAGCCGAGAGUGGGAGUAGGAAUAUGGGAUGAUGGAGGACUGAACUGAGAGCAGGUGAACACAGCUGUGGACCGCCGCCGGCUCUCUUCUUCCUCUCCUCCCUCUCUUCUUCCUCUCCUCAUGAGGCUCCGGCUCUGUGUCUCGGGGUCUCGGGGAGACAGCAGGGGCCGGCCAGGCUUCAACGGAGUGGGCAGCAGAGGCGGGCAGUUGCACCCACCGGGCACAGGCUCCUCAGCAGAGCAAUCAAUACGGAGGGAAGAGGCUGCCAGGGGUCGGGCGACGCAGCCCCGGGCCAUGGUGCCAAGGGAUCACAAGCGCUCAUCUCUCCCUUUACCAGUCAACUUGCAUCAGCCAAAGGCGGACCAUGUGUGAGAGCAAGAGUGUGUAUGUGUGUGUGUGGUUCUGCUGGAGGGACCUUCAGUCCCAACACCACUUGAUAAAACUUUGUCUGCGGGAGAAUGAACAGAAAAAGAGUGUCAAAGGCCUUCUUCCCUCUCCUCGAUUCCUUUUUUACUGUGAGUGCACAUUCCCAUCGACUGUUUGAAUGAGGGCUUGACGUACAAUCCCUCUUACAGGCCCUCCUCCAAGCCUCUACAUCAGAUGAGCUGGCAAGAGAGGACAACUUGAACUUUUGUCUUUUUUGGACGACAUUUUUUCGCCUUUUCUGUUGUAGAUUAAAUUAGAUGAUUUUUUCAAAAUUCUCGCCACUGUUUGAGAGCUUCUAAAAAGGCUUUGGUUUUAAUCCACAUGAAGAGGCUCGGCACUCUUUCUGCAUACUUCAAUACUUCUGGACCUCCACAGUACCAGGUUUUAAUAAGAUGCCAUUCAGACGGAGUGCAAAGUUGGAGCUGAGCUCCAAACUAGGACCAAAAUGACUCAAUAAACUUUCCCAGUGUUUGUCACACAUUGUUUUCAGUCAUUCCCUGAUCCAGAGCUGAUAAGGAAAGCUCCAUUUCCUUCCAUGAGACACAACGAACAUAGGUGAAUGGAGUGCGUAUGUUGCUAAAGGUAGUGCCAUGUCCCCAUGGAUUCUUUAAGGAAUGAAGUUUGCCAGGAGAUGAUGGAGUCUAAUCCUCUGAAAUGGAGUUAUGAGUGCUGUUCAGAGCCACUCCCUGGAUGGUGUGUUUCAGAUCUGUAGCCCUGACCCAGUGCAGGAUGAAAACCAUGACGUCAAUGAUAUUUUACCGUCAAUGACUGCUUAAAGAAUUUAGCUUUUGCCCCUUUAAUACUGGUGAGUAUUUCAAUAAGGUAAGUUUCUGAUCAUAAUUUAACAGCAUAAAUAAAAAAUGCUGUGAUACUGCAUUCAUAUAAACUUUAAACUGAUCAUUUGAAAUGUUUUUCUGUUUGUUUGUUUGUUUGCUUAUUGGCACCUAGAGUAUAAAUAUAAACUUUGGGUUGCAGGUUUCUCAUCUAAAAAAUGUUUUUCGCUCUUUUUUUUUUUUUUUUUUUCUAUGUUGUAACAUUUUUUUUCAGUUGCAACAAGUAAAUUUUUUCCAUUGGUAUGGUUUUGAUUGUAUCUAACCUGUAUGAUGUAUAGCACACUAUGGAAAUCUGAAACAUUUAUACAGUUAAUAGAGUACUAUACAGCUACAGAUGAUGAUAUGAUUUGCAGACAUAUUUGCAUUUUUAAGAACAGACAUACAAGACGAAAAAGCACAACCUGCUCGUACAAAGCAUGAUAUCCUUAUAGCCAUACGUUAAUUAUAGCAUAAUCUCUGAUAUUUGUUGAAGCUGUAUACUAUUGUAUGAAUACUGUAAUAAUAAAUGAAUUAUGCAGAAUGAAUGAACAAUAAAAGUGAAACCUGAAUUUUUUCUGUGUUGUGUGUGUUUUUUAACUUACGCUUGUCCAAUACAAUAUAAAACUGUUUCUCAUUAUUAUUGACGGGGAUACAUAAAUAAAUGUUUAUUUCCAUGGGUAAACAAAUUAAUAUACACUACCAGUGAAAAGUUUAGACACACUCAUUCUUUAUUUUAAUUUUAAUUUUUCCACAUUUUAAAAUAAUAAUAAAGUCAUCAAAACUCUGGAGUAACACAAAUAGGAACUAUGGGAAUUAUGUUGUGAUAAAAAAAUCCAAAAUAAAUCCAAAUAAUUUAAUAUUUUAGCAUCUUUAAAGAUGCCCUUUUUACCUAGAAUCUCCAGAAAUGUAUUCUUGGCAUUUUCUAAACCGAUUUCUUGAGGAAUUUCCCUGAGAUGCUUUUUAACCAGUAUUAAAGGAGUUCACACCUACGCUGGACACUUAUUGGCUGCUUUCCAGAAUAUUUCGCUCCAAGUCAUCCAUUUAAACAAAUAUAAUUUUGUAAAUAAAAUGUUAGUUUUCUAAUGAAAGAAAUUAAUAUGUUGGCACAAUUAUAAUGUUGUCUACAACACCGAUUUCAAACAUUUAAUCAUACCUUUAGAUCAAAAGGUUUGUAAGCUCAUGAGAAACAUUUCAGUCAAGUGUCUUGAAACUUUUGACUUGUCGUGUAUUUUGCUUAAUUAAUGAUUUUGACGUUUGUGUGUCUGUUUCUGCAUAACAUUACAGGCUCAUUAAUAUACAAAAGCGUUCAAAAGACGUUAUUAAGAUUUCAGUGCAUUUUUAAAGGAGAUUUUAAAAUGUUUUAUUCUAUGUGAAAUGUUUUGUGCUGUUUGAAAUUUUUACGAAUUAAAAAAUAUAUAUUUAUGCAUAAACCUAUGUAGGUUUGAUGACGUUUUGUGUCUAGAUGAAUCGUAUAAAAGAAAAUCAUAAUGCACUAAAGGACUGAUGUGCACCAAGUGUAAUGUUUUUUAAAUAAAGAGUUCUCAAGCUGACACAUUUGUACAAAGUAGCUGGACAUGAAGAUACACACACACACA